UGGCCUAUAUUUAUGGUUGACUAUCGUU
rnacentral:piRNA from 1 species